rnacentral:rRNA from 1 species
GUCCAGACUCCUACGGGAGGCAGCAGUGGGGAAUAUUGCACAAUGGGGGAAACCCUGAUGCAGCGACGCCGCGUGAGCGAUGAAGUAUUUCGGUAUGUAAAGCUCUAUCAGCAGGGAAGAAGAUGACGGUACCUGACUAAGAAGCCCCGGCUAACUACGUGCCAGCAGCCGCGGUAAUACGUAGGGGGCAAGCGUUAUCCGGAUUUACUGGGUGUAAAGGGAGCGUAGACGGCGAUGCAAGCCAGAUGUGAAAGCCCGGGGCUCAACCCCGGGACUGCAUUUGGAACUGUGUGGCUGGAGUGUCGGAGAGGCAGGCGGAAUUCCUAGUGUAGCGGUGAAAUGCGUAGAUAUUAGGAGGAACACCAGUGGCGAAGGCGGCCUGCUGGACGAUGACUGACGUUGAGGCUCGAAAGCGUGGGGAGCAAACAGGAUUAGAUACCCUCGUACG